rnacentral:lncRNA from 1 species
AUGCAGCGGUACCAGCGGCGGCUGCGGCGGCCCCGGCUGCAAAUCGCCGUCGUGUGGUUGCUACUGGCAACCGAGCCUCUGCCUAGCGCGCAGCCCUGCAGCCCCUGGAAGGAAGGCGGCGAGGGGAAGCGGCUGCGGCGCCGCCGCCUCGCUCCGGCCCGCGCCCCGCGGUCCCUUCGGGCUCUGGCCGCGGCUGUGAGGCGCGGAGGGCCGAAGGGCUCUUCGGGUGGGGGUGUCGCCGCCUCGGAAGCGUCAAAUUACUGGCGCCCUCUGUGCAUGCAACAUGGCAGCUCCGGCUCGAAGACUGGGUGCAUUCGGUCGGCCGCGGAGGCGGGGGCCGCGCGCUCUGCAGGGCGCCCACCGGCUCCUUCCCCAGGCCGGGAGCCGGGCCUGCUCGCGCCCCCGACCCGGGGCCGGGCGGAGCCCCGGGCUGCCGCGCGCGCGGACUCGCCUCGCGUGCACCCCGCGGCCCUUUGUUCUGACGCUAGGCAGGCGCCUCACGCUUCGGGGGCUUUUCAAGGAGACCCUCGAAGACCCGGCCACCCCGGGUGGGACGCCAGGCCUCCCAGCGCUCUGCGCCUCUGUCUAGCGUCCCCGGUCCCCGAGGGGCGCCGGGCCGGGCGGGAAGCGCGAGCGCGGGAUCCUAACCCGACCUUCCCAGAGGGGCCGCCUCUCGUCGGGUGGGUUCCUUCCCUGGGCGGAGCUCCUCACGCCGAGAGGUGUGAGGCGCGCGACCGGGCAGGGCUGCGGGCCGGCGGGAAGGCCACGCCCGUCACGGCCGCAGGGCAGUGGCAUUCUCCGCCGGGAGGCGCGGAGCGCUGCGGGCUCGCCAGCGCCCCGGUGUCCGAAAAACGGGGAGGCAAACGCCGCGCUGAGGAGUGCGCCGGGCCCCGCGUCGCUUCGCUCCGGCCGCCGUCGCCGCCCGCGAGGAGACGUCCCCGCCCUGGGUCGCGGGGCGCGCCGAGCGGCCCGCCGGGAGUGGCCGAGGGGGCCGGCGCCCCCACGGGGGAGAGCUGGGGGACAUUUGGCAUCUCUAAAAACCGCGGUGGAAGAGUGACCCUGCCACGUAUACAAGCCAGUUGUGACGUUCAGCACAACGUGCUACUGAAAUACCAAAAUCCGCCACCAAAUGGCGGCUCCUGCAGUCUGCCGCGCUGA